CCGUCUCCGAUCCAAGUACUAACCAGGCCCAACGUUGCUUAACUUGACAGAUCGGACGAGAUGUCGUGCUUUCAACGUGGUAUGGUCGUAGAC
rnacentral:rRNA from 1 species